CCUACGGAGGGCAGCAGUGAGGAAUAUUGGUCAAUGGGCGGAAGCCUGAACCAGCCAAGUAGCGUGCAGGAUGACGGCCCUACGGGUUGUAAACUGCUUUUAUACGGGAAUAACGCGCCUUACGUGUAGGGCUUUGCAUGUACCGUAUGAAUAAGGACCGGCUAAUUCCGUGCCAGCAGCCGCGGGAAUACGGAAGGUCCGGGCGUUAUCCGGAUUUAUUGGGUUUAAAGGGCGCGUAGGCCGCAUGUCAAGCGUGCUGUGAAAUGUCCGGGCUCAACCCGGGCCUUGCAGCGCGAACUGGCGUGCUUGAGUCCGCGGAAAGCAGGCGGAAUUCGUCGUGUAGCGGUGAAAUGCUUAGAUAUGACGAAGAACCCCGAUUGCGAAGGCAGCUUGCUGCAGCGGAACUGACGCUGAUGCUCGAAAGCGCGGGUAUCGAACAGGAUUAGAUACCCUUGUAGUC
rnacentral:rRNA from 1 species